rnacentral:rRNA from 1 species
ACGGAGGGUGCAAGCGUUAUUCGGAAUUACUGGGCGUAAAGGGCGUGAAGGCGGGAGAGCAAGUCUGAUGUGAAAGCCCGGGGCUUAACCCCGGAAGGGCAUUGGAAACUGCUUUUCUUGAGUUCUGGAGAGGAAGGGAGAAUUCCCGGUGGAGAGGAGAAAGGCGAAGAGCUCGGGAGGAGCAGCAGUGGCGAAGGCGACCUUCUGGACAGCAACUGACGCUGGGCCGCGUGAGCGUUUGGUGCUUACAG